rnacentral:misc_RNA from 1 species
GAUGAAGAACAUAGCGAAAUGCGAUACUUGGUGUGAAUUGCAGAAUCCCGUGAACCAUCGAGUCUUUGAACGCAAGUUGCGCCCGAAGCCAUUAGGCCGAGGGCACGCCUGCCUGGGCGUCACACGUCGUUGCCCCCCCAUCUACUCCUUCGGGAUUGCGGGGGGCGGAUGAUGGCCUCUCGUGCGCCUCGUCGCGCGGUUGGCCUAAAUGCCAAGUCCUCGGCGACGCACGCCACGACAAUCGGUGGUUGCGAAACCUCGGUUGCCUGUCGUGUGCGGUCGUCGCGCAUCGAGGGCUCGAAAAAAUUGCCGGGCUUCGGCUCGACUUUCAACGCGACCCCAGGUCAGGCGGGGUUACCCGCUGAAUUUAAGCAUAUCAAUAAGCGGAGGA